UACGGGGGGAGCAAGCGUUGUUCGGAAUCAUUGGGCGUAAAGGGCGUGUAGGCGGUAUGUUAAGUCAUGUGUGAAAUCCCUCGGCUCAACCGGGGAACGACGCAUGAAACUGGCAAGCUAGAGUACCAAAGAGGGUGGUGGAAUUCCCGGUGUAGCGGUGAAAUGCGUAGAUAUCAGGAGGAACACCGGUGGCGAAGGCGGGUCUCUGGGCCGAUACUGACGCUGAGGAGCGAAAGCGUGGGGAGCGAACAGG
rnacentral:rRNA from 1 species